rnacentral:lncRNA from 1 species
GAACAUAUACAACAUCAGUACCUGUGUUCUGAUACAGGUUAAAACAGAAAGAUUCACUUCCACUGAUCUCUUUCUUAUCCCCCACAUAAAAAUAUUAACCUUCAAUAUCUCAUCUGAACCAUUAUAUUGAUCAGGGUAAGAAAUAAACAGAAGAUUCUUCUUUCACAAAUUUCAUUGAUUCUACUACUUUAGUAGAAUCAUAGAAUGCCUUUUGAGGCUUUUGAGCUUUUUCGCAUCAGGAGUAUUGCUAGUCCGUAGGCUGUCUUUGCAUGAAUUGGAAAACGGUAGCCGGUCCCCAAGGCAUUUUACUUCCAUAUGUCAGAAAAUUGUGAUAAUAUACUUACUUUGUUAAAAAGAAACACUACUAAAUCUGCAAGAAAAAAAUCGUCAUACUAAAUAUCAAAGCUAUGUUGUUUGUGAUGUGAAUUAUGUUUUUUAGACAUGGCACCCUUAUGCAGUGCUUACCUGUACAGCUCUUCCUCCCUCCGCCUUCACUGUCAGUCUUCUGCAUUUGCUAGCCAGCCCAAAUGCUCCUUAGACUCGUACUGAAAUUCUGUUAAACGGCUCUCACGAAAACCACUCAUGCUGUUCUUCCUGCCAAAUCCAAGUCUACCUUCUUGGAAUUAUUUGCCUUCUCUUAAUCCUGAUUCUCUUCCUCCCUUUCCUACCAGCAAUUCUUGUCCUGCACCUGUUUUCUGUGGACUCCAUUCUUAGACUUCAGUUCUGAGGAAUCUGGUCAGUCCUCCCUGAGAUAAAAUGGUCCUCAUAGCUAACAGGUUUAGCAUAGUGGAAGCUUCAGAUGCUGUCUUUUCCACAUGCCUUAACUUGUACCACUUAACUGUUUCCCACAGUGAAGAUUCCAGUCAAAUACUUGCCUUCCUGUAAAAACUUAGGGCACAGCCCUCCAGACUUAGUGACAUAAUCUGUGACUUGAGCCAUAUGUUGUUCCAUGUCAUCUGCAGAGGCCCAUGGCUUGUUCCUCUCUUGCGCAUGGUAGCUCACCCCCUACUCCCUUUAACUAUCCAAAACACUCGAUGUCUCCUGAGCCUUGUUUAAUAACAGGGCCUUUUUUCCCUCCAGACAAUCCCAUCAAGAACCACCUGAAGAACCUCCAUGAAGUAGACUCUAUACAGGAAACAAUUCCAUCUUCCAGAGUGAAUAUUCACUCAUUUGCUUUUCCAGCCAGGAGACUGGAAGAAGCCAGCAGGCAAUGUAGUCAUUUGGUAAUGUUCUUCCUACUGCCAAGAUGGAUUAAUGCUGGGAGACCUUACAACGGGUGAGUAAUCGGUAGUGCGUGCAGGCCCUCGGAGAUCCCUGAGGUGUGAUUAUUUUCAUGCGUACAUUUCUGUCGUCAUCCUCCAAAGGGUGCUUUGUCAUUUCCUUCACUCUUUCCUCACUGGACUCUCAA